rnacentral:lncRNA from 1 species
AGAGCUGAGCUAGACCCCUACCCCUAACUUAUUUCGGAAUGAUUUAGAGAGCUGCGAAUCAGGCUUUCAGAGUGGUGGCAAGCAGGGCAAGAAGAUAAAGUCCAAUCUGACCCUAAGCAGAUUUUUUACAUCUUUCUCGCAUCCGCUUUCAGGUUUGACAUGACAUUAGAGCUCUCGUACUUAGUGACGAGUUCGAGCCUUAGAAGCAUGCGAAGGAAUAAGGUCUGGAAUAAGUCUUGUAUGAGUCCUUUAAUCGAGUCCCUCUUCUUUAAUAGGUGCUUUCAAGUAGCAGGUUUUGAUUAUCUUUUUACGAUUACAAUUCCAGUAUUAAAUAUCUCCGCCUCCCCAUUCCUUUAUCAAAGUCUAGUACUUAUGGGCGCAAGUCAGUCUCUUCAAGUGGAAGCAAUCAUAGGGGGUUCGGGUCUGAGGUAAGCCUUCCUCUAUCAUUGGUAGGCAAAAAAGGGGUAAGCGAACCUGGCUGUCUUUGUUAAUAAGCAAAUGGGUAAGUAAGCGCAAACAGUACGAAUCUCUUUCUGUAUUCAAGCCUGCUCCUGGUCGCUCGGACUCUUGUUGUACCUCUAUCAUUGGUAGGCAAAAAAGGGGUAAUCAAGCCUGGUUGUCUUUGUUAAUAAGCAAAUGGGUAAGUAAGCGCAAACAGUACGAAUCUCUCUCUGUAUUCAAGCCUGCUCCUGGUCGCUCGGACUCUUGUUGUAGUGUGAGCCUUGAA